rnacentral:lncRNA from 1 species
GUUUAGCUUAAUCUAAUCUAACCUCAGCCAAAGCCUAAAUGCAUCAUAGCUUUAGAAUAUGAUUCUGAUCUUUGAGAUCUAUUAUAUGUCAUUCAAGUAUUUGAGUUUAAGACUGCAUAAUCCAAGCACAUUUUCGACAAUGAGCAGUAGAAACUUUCAUUAAGUACUGGGGUCUAAGCCAAGUACUCAAUCCUAAGAUAAACCCUAACAAACUUAAUCACAUGCUGAAUGAGUGAUGCACACAAUUUACAUUUACUUAUGGUUGUCUGCCUAAUUGGUAGGUCUAAUUGUAGCAUCUACUUAAUUUUCUUCUUUAGCCAAAUUACUCUUGCAAGUUUGCAGAAUCUUCAUGGGGUGGAAAGAAUUCCAAUCUGAUCCAGACUAGUUAUACUAACACAAAGAGGACUCAGAACAUAUCAUACUUGAUUCUCUCAGGUUCUUUAGUGAAAUACAUAAAAGUAUCACACAAGUUCAAGAUUGAUAGAAAACCCAACCUACGUGGCACCUGGCUGUCCACAGAGGCAUAGACAACUAGAGCAAAGUCAUUGCAUCAGAAUUACAGUAUCAAAUAAAUCAAAGAGAGAAGUAAAUCUGAAUGGAGGAAAAAAAAGGAACUUCUAGGUCCUUCAGGCAUAUUGUUCAAUAUGACUCAAGAAGGGUUCCUUAAGAUACAUCUAUGUUCUAAUUUGGAGUAUAGACUAGACUAGGGGCUCAGUUAUGAGGAUAAAUGGCUCAUAGCCAUGGACCUGACAAUCACGAGAAAUGCACCAACAUCCAAAAGAAAUUCUACAGGAACGAGCCUCUGAGGCUACUAAGAAAAGUGAAUGGUCUUUAGUAACAACAUAAAAACCAUGAAAACCAGGUCUAGAGAUGGAGGAUACUGAUGAAUUGUAUUCAUAUUGAAACCACACCCUUGUGUAUCCACUUUUUCGUCUAACACUCAAGUAAUAAUAGCAGGAUGUGAUAGAAUUACAUUUUGGUUGUUUAUUGAUGUAAUGAAACACAUUUCAUUAGUAAAUGUAAAGUAAUGAAAGAGUGACAGGAAAAAAAAAUUAGGCAUACCACAAAAGAAUAUCUAGAUCACUACACUAUAGUUAUGCCUUUCCAACAAAACUGUUCACCCUAUGAUGCAGAAAU